rnacentral:rRNA from 1 species
GAUGAACGCUGGCGGCGUGCCUAAUACAUGCAAGUCGAGCGGUAAGGCUCCUUCGGGAGUACACGAGCGGCGGACGGCUGAGUAACACGUAGGAACGUACCCCAAACUGAGGGAUAAGCACCAGAAAUGGUGUCUAAUACCGCAUGUGAUCUUCGGAUUAAAGCUCCGGCGGUUUGGGAACGGCCUGCGUAAGAUUAGCUUGUUGGUGAGGUAAUAGCUCACCAAGGCGACGAUCUUUAGCUGGUCUGAGAGGAUGAUCAGCCAGACUGGGACUGAGAACGGCCCAGACUCCUACGGGAGGCAGCAGUAGGGAAUUUUCCACAAUGGACGAAAGUCUGAUGGAGCAACGCCGCGUGCAGGAUGAAUGUCUUCGGAUUGUAAACUGCUUUUCUCUGUGACGAUUAUGACGGUAGCAGAGGAAUAAGGACCUGCUAACUACGUGCCAGCCGC